AACUGGGUCCCUGGCGGCGGGGGCCGUCGAACCGCGUCAGGUCCGGGAGGAAGCAGCGCUAAGGCGUUUCCCCCGGGUGCCCAGGAUAACCUGGUAAUC
rnacentral:SRP_RNA from 2 species